AAGAAAGAUAGAGGUUGCGUUUUUUAUUAGUAAUCUGUUGGAUGUGGCAGGCACAGAAGAAAACAGAGGAAAGGAAAAAACGCCGAAAGGAUUGCCAGCCUGUUUUGGUGGUUCUUGGGCAUACAGUUAAGAGCUGUGUGACUGUCAUCGUAAGAUGGUGCGCUAUCUAAAGG
rfam:Blautia hydrogenotrophica CAG:147 genomic scaffold, scf343